CAGCCACAUCACGUUGAAUCAUCGGUUCCACUACAAUUACCGAAGUUAAUCAACGUUGAGCCGGGUCAAUACUUAGAUGGAUGACCGCUUGGGAAUACCAUGUGCUGUAAG